UACGUAGGGGGCUAGCGUUGUCCGGAUUUAUUGGGCGUAAAGAGCGUGUAGGCGGCCAGGUAGGUCUGCUGUGAAAACUCGAGGCUCAACCUCGAGACGUCGGCGGAAACCAUCUGGCUAGAGUCCGGAAGAGGCGAGUGGAAUUCCCGGUGUAGCGGUGAAAUGCGCAGAUAUCGGGAGGAACACCAAUGGCGAAGGCAGCUCGCUGGGACGUUACUGACGCUGAGACGCGAAAGCGUGGGGAGCAAACAGG
rnacentral:rRNA from 1 species